GAUGAACGCUGGCGGCGUGCCUAAUACAUGCAAGUCGAGCGAACAGAUGAUGAGCUUGCUCCUCUGACGUUAGCGGCGGACGUGUGAGUAACACGUGGAUAACCUACCUAUAAGACUGGGAUAACUUCGGGAAACCGGAGCUAAUACCGGGUAAUAUAUUGAACCGCAUGGUUCAAUAGUGAAAGACGGUUUUGCUUUCACUUAUAGAUGGAUCCGCGCCGCAUUAGCUAGUUGGUAAGGUAACGGCUUACCAAGGCAACGAUGCGUAGCCGACCUGAGAGGGUGAUCGGCCACACUGGAACUGAGACACGGUCCAGACUCCUACGGGAGGCAGCAGUAGGGAACCUUCCGCAAUGGGCGAAAGCCUGACGGAGCAACGCCGCGUGAGUGAUGAAGGUCUUCGGAUCGUAAAACUCUGUUAUUAGGGAAGAACAAAUGUUUAAGUAACUAUGCAAGUCUUGACGGUACCUAAUCAGAAAGCCACGGCUAACUACGUG
rnacentral:rRNA from 1 species